UACAGAGGUCCCGAGCGUUGUUCGGAUUCACUGGGCGUAAAGGGUGCGCGGGUGGGUUGGCAAGUUUGAUGUGAAAGCCCCGGGCUUAACCCGGGAAUGGCAUUGAAUACUGCUGAUCUGGAGGAUCGGAGGGGGGACUGGAAUUCUUGGUGUAGCAGUGAAAUGCGUAGAUAUCAAGAGGAACACCAGUGGCGAAGGCGGGUCUCUGGACAGUUCCUGACGCUGAGGCACGAAGGCCAGGGGAGCAAACGGG
rnacentral:rRNA from 1 species